rnacentral:rRNA from 1 species
AGUAAACGGCGGCCGUAACUAUAACGGUCCUAAGGUAGCGAAAUUCCUUGUCGGGUAAGUUCCGACCCGCACGAAAGGCGCAACGAUCUGGGCACUGUCUCAACGAGAGACUCGGUGAAAUUAUAGUACCUGUGAAGAUGCAGGUUACCCGCGACAGGACGGAAAGACCCCGUGGAGCUUUACUGCAACCUGAUAUGGAAUGUUUGUACCGCUUGUACAGGAUAGGUAGGAGCCGAAGAGACGUGUGCGCUAGCAUACGAGGAGGCAAUGGUGGGAUACUACCCUGGCUGUAUGACCAUUCUAACCCGCCACGCUUAGCGCGUGGGGAGACAGUGUCAGGUGGGCAGUUUGACUGGGGCGGUCGCCUCCUAAAGAGUAACGGAGGCGCCCAAAGGUUCCCUCAGAAUGGAUGGAAAUCAUUCGCAGAGUGUAAAGGCACAAGGGAGCUUGACUGCGAGACUGACAAGUCGAGCAGGGACGAAAGUCGGGCUUAGUGAUCCGGUGGUUCCGCAUGGAAGGGCCAUCGCUCAACGGAUAAAAGCUACCCCGGGGAUAACAGGCUUAUCUCCCCCAAGAGUCCACAUCGACGGGGAGGUUUGGCACCUCGAUGUCGGCUCGUCGCAUCCUGGGGCUGUAGUCGGUCCCAAGGGUUGGGCUGUUCGCCCAUUAAAGCGGCACGCGAGCUGGGUUCAGAACGUCGUGAGACAGUUCGGUCCCUAUCCGUCGCGGGCGCAGGAAAUUUGAGAGGAGCUGUCCUUAGUACGAGAGGACCGGGAUGGACACACCGCUGGUGUACCAGUUGUUCCGCCAGGAGCAUCGCUGGGUAGCUAUGUGUGGCAGGGAUAAACGCUGAAAGCAUCUAAGCGUGAAGCCCCCCUCAAGAUGAGAUUUCCCAUUUCUUCGGAAAGUAAGAUCCCUGAAAGAUGAUCAGGUAGAUAGGUUUGGAGUGGAAGUGUAGCGAUACAUGGAGCGGACAAAUACUAAUCGAUCGAGGACUUAACCAA